CAAUAGUAAUUCAACCUAGUACGAGAGGAACCGUUGAUUCGCACAAUUGGUCAUCACGCUUGGUUGAAAAGCCAGUGGCGUGAAGCUACCAUUCGUUGGAUUAUGACUGAACGCCUCUAAGUCAAAAUCCAGGCUAGAAGCGACGCACGCGGCCGUCGCCCGAUUGCUGACCCGCAGUAGGCGGCUUUGGCCCCCAAGGGCAUGUGUUGUAGGUGCAACGACUGCGGCGAACAAGUCACGGGCGCCUCCUUGGAGCAUAAUUCUCACCUAGUGGCGGGUAGAAUCCUUUGCAGAGGACUUAAAUACACGACGGGGUAUUGUAAGUGGCAGAGUGGCUUGCUGUCACGAUCCACUGAGAUUCAUCCCUUUGUCGCUUCGAUUCGU
rnacentral:ncRNA from 1 species